UAUYKYYUYUSCAAAAGCGAGAAUAUCCACAUAAGACGAGAAGACCCUGUGGAACUUCAAGUAUUACCAACAUACUUUAUAUACCCCCCCUGCCCUGUACAAGGAAAGGAAAUAAAUAGUGUACCAUGGCUAUUACUUUUGGUUGGGGUGACCUCGGAGAAAAACGAAACCUCCGAAAAGAGAAUAUUCUCAUACCCAGAAUUACACCUCAAAGUGCUUUAAAGCAAAACGAUCCAAUACAUUUGAUCAACGAACAAAGCUACCCCAGGGAUAACAGCGCAAUCCCUUCUCAAAGUCCUUAUUAAUGAUGGGGGUUUACGACCUCGAUGUUGGAUCAGGACAUCCUAAUGGKGCARCCGCUAUUAAR
rnacentral:rRNA from 1 species